ensembl:misc_RNA Vault Vault RNA
GGGCUGGCUUUAGCCCAGCGGUUCCUUCGAGUCUGGCUUCCCAACUGCCCAGGCCGACUGGUCUGGUGGUUCGAGACCCGUGGGCGCUCUCCAAUCCUUUA